rnacentral:rRNA from 1 species
GACGAACGCUGGCGGCGUGCUUAACACAUGCAAGUCGAACGGAAAGGCCCUGCUCUUGUGGGGUGCUCGAGUGGCGAACGGGUGAGUAACACGUGAGUAACCUGCCCUUGACUUUGGGAUAACUUCAGGAAACUGGGGCUAAUACCGGAUAGGAGCUCCUGCUGCAUGGUGGGGGUUGGAAAGUUUCGGCGGUUGGGGAUGGACUCGCGGCUUAUCAGCUUGUUGGUGGGGUAGUGGCUUACCAAGGCUUUGACGGGUAGCCGGCCUGGGAGGGUGAACGGCCACAUUAGGACUGAGAUACGGCCCAGACUCCUACGGGAGGCAACAGUGGGGAAUAUUGCACAAUGGGCGGAAGCCUGAUGCAGCAACGCCGCGUGCGGGAUGACGGCCUUCGGGUUGUAAACCGCUUUCGCCUGUGACGAAGCGUGAGUGACGGUAAUGGGUAAAGAAGCACCGGCUAACUACGUG